rnacentral:rRNA from 1 species
UGAGUAACACGUAUCCAACCUGCCGUCUACUCUUGGACAGCCUUCUGAAAGGAAGAUUAAUACAAGAUGGCAUCAUGAGUCCACAUGUUCACAUGAUUAAAGGUAUUCCGGUAGACGAUGGGGAUGCGUUCCAUUAGGUUGUUGGCGGGGUAACGGCCCACCAAGCCGACGAUGUCUAGGGGUUCUGAGAGGAAGGUCCCCCACACUGGAACUGAGACACGGUCCAG